CCUACGGGGGGCUGCAGUGAGGAAUAUUGGUCAAUGGGCUGAAGCCUGAACCAGCCAAGUCGCGUGAGGGAAUACUGCCCUACGGGUCGUAAACCUCUUUUGUCGGGGAGCAAGGGCCGGGACGAGUCCCCGUCCGGAGAGUACCCGGAGAAAAAGCAUCGGCUAACUCCGUGCCAGCAGCCGCGGUAAUACGGAGGAUGCGAGCGUUAUCCGGAUUUAUUGGGUUUAAAGGGUGCGUAGGCGGGGUUUGAAGUCAGCGGUAAAAAUGCGGGGCUCAACCCCGUCCGGCCGUUGAAACUGGGGUGCUUGAGUGGGCGAGAAGAAGGCGGAAUGCGUGGUGUAGCGGUGAAAUGCAUAGAUAUCACGCAGAACUCCGAUUGCGAAGGCAGCCUUCCGGCGCCCUACUGACGCUGAGGCACGAAAGUGCGGGGAUCGAACAGGAUUAGAUACCCCUGUAGUC
rnacentral:rRNA from 1 species